GUCAAGUCGUUUCCUGAGAUUGAUAAAUUUCCUCUCGGCGUUGGUGGUCAUUUUGACAAAACCGUCACAACACAAAACUCUAGAUGGUGGAAAAAUACAAAGCGCAAGUUUCGGCGCUAAAGCCAUUUGAAAAUGGCGCCGAAUGAGACCAGACUUUCCCCAUGGAAACGGGAUCUGCCUCCGAAAUCUGCCUCCGCCCUCUGCCGGUGGACUGCUGAAGUACCCGUACGUACGCUUUCCCGAGGGCAGGAUGCUUCAUUUUGUUCAGCCGACUGUAGACUGUAGGUUGGAUUCCGAACAUGACACUUGUGUGUAAUGACCUAACACACUUCCAAGUAACAAGCCUCCCAAAGUUUCGUUUGUAAAUGAAUUUGUCAUAGAAAAUAAGCAAAACUUUCUGUCUAUUUAAAUGCAAAACCCUCAGGACAAAGCUUGUGAACGAGAGCUAUUCAAGUUAUUCAGUUUAUACUUCAAGACUGUGAUAUGAAAAACACUAGUCUAUAUAAAUGCAGUCCAUUAAUAUGGAUAUAUAUAUAUAGAGGUUUAUCAUCGGACUACAGGAUUUACAGGAAAAUGAAAUUUACAGUUACGCUUUCAGAUGGCACCCUCUCCUGGGUCUAAAAAGACCAUUUUCACUUAAACCAUUUUCCCUUCAUGCCAAAAGCAAACCAACAGACUCAAAGCAACAUAGCAGAGCUUUAUUGCACAUUUGUCAUUCUCAGAG